rnacentral:tRNA from 1 species
AUCUGGCUGGCUCAGUCAGUACAGCAUGAGACUCUUGAUCUCAGGGUCAUGAGUUCAAGCCCCACGCUGGGCA